AACUCGGCCCUGGAAUUGGGAAGGGUGCAGGGAAGAGGAGGCGCAGAUGUGCGCUUGUCUCACACGAGCAGCCACAUUUAGCCACUGAGUCGGGACUGAAAUAUUCCUGAGGGAGAAGAACCCUGAGGCUUCAGGGCGGCAACGGCUCGGGCUCUCGUCAGUGGGGAGCUGGGAAGGGAUGUUGUCACCAUCUGCCUCGUGUCUGUCUGUGACUAAAAUAAUACUGGGGCCCUGCUUGGCACAUCCUAACUUCUCUGACUGCAUUUUGGGAUCACUACUGAGUCUGAACCUCAGCGCCCUUCGAGGGGCAGAGCCACAGGUUGGGAGUGGGUGCUGAGACUGGGAGAGAGACUUUUUUUUAUGGGGGGCAGCUACAGAGGCCGAUCUAGAGAUGUGCUCCUUCAGCUCUUCUCUCACUGAGCCUGCUUCCUGAUCAGAACAAUGGGCCUGUACCUGCGGACCUACCCACUAAGUAUCCUGUGAGCCGUCCUGCUCUGUGCUCUGAGAAACCGACAUGAAGGCCCAUGUACUGGUCUGCCUGGAGACUGAGGAAGAGUUAAGACUGAUUCAUUCUUCCUUGCCUGGACCAAGACUCUGACUUGUCUUCCUUCCUACACUCCUCCCGUUGGAGGGAUGUAUAUACUCAUAAAAGAGGGUGAGCUCACAGGUCAUCCAUC
rnacentral:lncRNA from 1 species